ACAAAAUCAAGCAGACACCGCAGCAGAGUUAAACAUCCCUUUCUUAAAAUUGGAGUAGAUAUUUACGUUAUUCAUUAUUUUAUCAUAUAUUUCAUGUAUAAAGGCCUGUUAGACAGUCUCGAAGGGCUGCACAAUGAAUGUAGAAAAUGUGUGUGAUGAAACAGGUGGCGAUGAAAAUGCACGACGUAUUUAACCAUUCAGCAGAACACACGGAAGACAGACAACAGCGUCGCCGUUCUUCCGCCGAAGGCCAGAUGGAAAUGAGCCAUGUACUACCUGGGACAGAGGAAUGCUGGGAUAUGUAUGCUGAACCAUUGGAUGUGACUCUUAUCAUUCCUCUCUGUCCUGCCCAUCUGUUUCUGACCGGACUGGAAUGAGGUGGCAGGCUGGUAUAACGGGAGCGGGGCAGACAGGAAACAGGAAGCUCAGGAGCCCUGUGACAUCAUCACAGAAGCUUUGACCGGCUGCUUCCUAAAUUACAGCAACUGUUUUUUGUGGUCUGCUCACCGAAACUUUAACAUGGGUGUUCAGGGUUAUCUUGUGUUUAUUCACCUUCCUGUUUCAAUAUGUCAAGGACAAUGAAAAGGUUUUUCAGAGAGCUCGCUUUCAUUUGAACACCCACAAACAGGUGCCAGGUUUUUGUUUAAUUGCUUAAAAAAAAAAACGCAGCAAGGUUAAAGUCCUCUUCUCAGUCACUGGCUGCUGAAACAUGGCAGUGGUUAUUCCAGUUGGAUCCGGCCAGUUAGAUACAGUACUCUUCUGGCCUGCAAAUCCAAGGGUCAAAUUAUUAAUCUGUUUGCCAAAGCGUAUUUACAGGUUGGGAAUGAAAGGCCCUAAGUUUGGGGUCACUUUAUCCUCUGGCACCCCAAAAACUAAUUUGAGGGGGAAGGGAGGCUGCUGGGUGGCUCAUUAUGUUAAGGCUCUGCUCUAGUGCGUAGAUGGACUCUGUGGUCUGGUGUUGAAUCCGGACUGUGCUGAUUGGCCAACAGUCAUGCAGGGCAACGCGUAAUUGGCCCCCCAGGGAGGGAGGUGCUCUGCCAGCCAGGGUGACGGCCCCCCUUGCUGGCCAAUCAGGACAUCCGUGGUCCAGCUGUCGAGCUGGACAUGCAGUGUCUUCUCUGACCGGUCUGUGGGCCCAUCUUAUCAACCAUUUUGUGAAAAUAAAUGGCGGCGGGCGACAUCAUA